GUGCCAGACUCCUACGGGAGGCAGCAGUGAGGAAUAUUGGUCAAUGGGCUUACGCCUGAACCAGCCAAGUCGCGUGAGGGAAGACUGCCCUAUGGGUUGUAAACCUCUUUUGUCAGGGAGCAAUUGAGUCCACGUGUGGGCUUAGCGAGAGUACCUGAAGAAAAAGCAUCGGCUAACUCCGUGCCAGCAGCCGCGGUAAUACGGAGGAUGCGAGCGUUAUCCGGAUUUAUUGGGUUUAAAGGGUGCGUAGGCGGAAUAUCAAGUCAGGGGUAAAAAUUCGGGGCUCAACCCCGUCGUGCCGUUGAAACUGAUGUUCUUGAGUGGGCGAGAAGUAUGCGGAAUGCGUGGUGUAGCGGUGAAAUGCAUAGAUAUCACGCAGAACUCCGAUUGCGAAGGCAGCAUACCGGCGCCCAACUGACGCUGAAGCACGA
rnacentral:rRNA from 1 species